GCAAGUCGAGCGAGAAAGAUCUUCGGAUCGAGUACAGCGGCUGACGGGUGAGUAACGCGUAGGAAUCUACCUAGUAGUGGGGGACAACUCGGGGAAACUCGAGCUAAUACCGCAUACGCCCUACGGUGGAAAGCGGGGGACCUUCGGUCAUCGUGCUAUUAGAUGAGCCUGCGUUGGAUUAGCUAGUUGGUGAGGUAAAGGCUCACCAAGGCGACGAUCCAUAGCUGGUCUGAGAGGAUGAUC
rnacentral:rRNA from 1 species